rnacentral:rRNA from 1 species
CUGACGCUGAGGCUCGAAAGCGUGGGGAGCGAAGCGGAUUAGAUACCCGCGUAGUCCACGCCCUAAACGGUGGACACUAGAUAUAGGAGGUAUCGACCCUUUCUGUGUCGAAGCUAACGCCUUAAGUGUCCCGCCUGGGGAGUACGGACGCAAGGCUGAAACUCAUAAGGAAUUGACGGGGGCCCGCACAAGCAGCGGAGCGUGUGGUUUAAUUCGAUGCUACACGAAGAACCUUACCAGGACUUGACAUGGCAGAAGUAGGAAUCCGAAAGGAAAACGACCUGUAUCCAGUCAGGAGCUGUCACAGGUGCUGCAUGGCUGUCGUCAGCUCGUGCCGUGAGGUGUUGGGUUAAGUCCCGCAACGAGCGCAACCCUUGUCUUAUGUUAAAUUCUCAUAGGAAACUGCCUUGUACAGCAAGGAGGAAGGAAAGGAUGACGUCAAGUCAGCACGGCCUUUAUAUCCUGGGCCACACACACGCUACAAUGGACGAUACAGAGGGUUGCCAAGGAGCGAUCCGGAGGUAAUCCCCGAAAAUCGUCCUCAGUUCGGAUUGCAGGCUGAAAUCGCCUGC